AUUUGAUCACUUCCUUGUUUAGAAUUAUAGGCAUGAGGUGAUGAUUAAAAUCAGAAUGGCUAGGUUUUAUUAUUGUAGUUCAAAAUUUUCUAUGCACAGGGUCGUUGCCCCACACACCUAUUGCCUGUACCCAGGACUACUCCCAACAACUCCACAGUUAGUCAGCCACUGGUAACUCCCCAUGGUUGACAUAAUUGAGUGCAAAGCGAUGGCCCUUAACAAAGUUCUCCAUCAAUGGCCUCAACCUCUUUUCAGCCUCCUCCUCCACAGUUCCUCCGUUGUGAAAAUGUCCCAUCAUCUAGAAGAGUGGAAAUAUCCUACUCCCUGAGCCUGCCUCCUUUUUUUUUUUUUUUUUUACUUUCCUGUAUUUAUUCGUAUUUCUCCCUCUGACAAUUUAAGUGUAAUGAGCACAGGCUUUAGAGCGGGGAUUUUCUGGGUUUGAACUUUCUCUCUGUAGUUUAGAAAUUGCGGGAUCUUGGGCAAGUUAUGGAAACUAUCUAGGCCUCGGCCUCCUCACCUAGAAAAAAAUAGUGACAAAAGCCCCGUCUACACAGAGUACCGGAUCAGAUGAGGACCUAAAAUAUAUGUGGGAUUGUCUGUCACAAUAAAUAUCUUUUUAUCUUUUCUCUCCCCUGCUGAAUUUCCCGGAUCCAACACUUACAGAGCUUUGUCCCAAAUAGGCCCUCCCAGAACUUGAGCAACUGAACCGAAUUGAUCAAACCAGAUGAUAUACAAGCUCCAAAGGUACGAGGUUGAGGCCCAGGCUCCGGCUCUUUCUAGAAUUACCUCAGCUGUGAGCCCUGAGCAUUGUCAUGAGAAGAAAAUCUCGAAUAUUUCUCACUCGGCCUUCGUUCCUCUUCUUCAGCUGUCCGGAACUCCCUCACCUCGAACGACGGCCGCGACCAAACAAGGAGGCCGCAGAAGCCUCACCGGGACCAGCGACCACACGGGAAUCUGGAUGCGGCGUCCGUUUCACCUUGGGAAACAUCUCAGCAUUCUGAGCAGCUCAGAGCUUCAUCCUGCAGCCGGUGCUGCCUCCCCUCCGGUCUCCCUGUCUAGAGACACACACCGAAAUCACUGCAGGCAUUCGACUGCUUCGUGCGGCACCGGAAGGAGCCCUGUGGGUCAUCACAGCCAAGCCCAUAAACAAGCACCAUCGCAAAACCAAACAAAUGGAGGAGAAGUGGCUCAGUGGAGGUACCUGCCAACGAGACUUGUUCCUCUGGCACGAGGGCUGCUCGGCAAAAGCCUCCAUCCCUCAUUAAAUCAAUAAAAUCAAGUGUCCUUUAUUUUAAGCCUCAGCACUGUAAACCAGUAGCAAGGAGAGGGGCCCAGGCUUUUCAUCUCAUUGUUUCAAAACAGAUCGUUGGGUUGGAAUUGACAAAAGGUUCAUUCCUUUACCUUUGUGGAAAUGUCAGUAAAAACGCAGGUGCUGGGCAUUUGGACUCUUUUGCUCCGCAGAAGGAAAAAAAAAAAAAAAAGGAGAGCGUGUGUGUGGGGAGGGGGAGAUCCGUGACAGGCUAACUACAUGUACUGAAGCUUUCUAAGACAUUUUGUUUAGCCUGAUAUUGUGCAGCAGUGAGGAGAGAGGUGGAAUCUAUUGUGUACCAGCUGCAUGAAUCACCGGAUUGAAGUCUAACAGCCUCAGAUCCUCUUUUAUACAGUAGAGGGGAGAUUAGAGCAGGGAGCUCAUAUGUCACAAAAUAGAGGUACAAUGUGGUUCUGGCUUGCUUAGCGCACUCAGCCAGCAUUUGAUCCAAAUUUAGCCAAAGGGAACGAAGGAACGUGUGCUGCUAUCAGCCAGGGAGGUGACAAAUGUUGGGCUGUAAUAUCCCAAAUUCCUUUUCUG
ensembl:lncRNA